rnacentral:sRNA from 1 species
AUGUCUUCAUUUAUAAGGUCCCUUACUAGAGGUACUAGAGCUCUUCUUCUUUAAGUAUAGAGUAAAUUCCAUUAACUUUUUUUUUUUUUUUUUUAAAGCUUUGAGUUAAUGUCAAUUAAGUCCAAAAUUGAUCAAUUUGGUCCUUAAACCCAACUCAGUCCCUAAACAUAGUUAGUCUAGUUAGUAAUUUUUCUUUUCUCUCUUAUGGACCAAAUUAGAUUUAAGAAUUAAAUUGAUCAGUUUUGAAGUAUUUUAGACUUGUCUGGCAUUAGCCAAAAUACUAUACCAACGAAAUUUACUUUUAUACUUAGUAUGCGUUCAGAUAUGCGUUUUAUGGUUGUGUUUGCGUUUUCAUUCUUUUUAUUUUUUAUUUUUUAUACUUAGUAUGCGUUCAGAUAUGCAUUUCAUGGUUUCAUGGUUGCGUUUACGUUUUCAUUCUUUUUUUAUUUUAUUUUUUAUACUUAGUAUGCGUUCAGAUAUGCAUUUCAUGGUUGCGUUUGCGUUUUCAUUCUUUUUUUUUUUUUUUUUUUUUUAAGAGCACCUCUUACACUGUUCAUGAAAUAUGAAUAGUACGUUAAGGUAAAUGAACAAAAUUUAGAGAGUAAACAGUAAUUUAAAAAUUAUUUUUUUAUUGCUUUCAGCAAACUAAGUGGUAUUAAUGCAAAAAAAAAAAAAAAGAAAAGAAAAAAAAAAAAGAAAAGAAAAGAAAUAGAUAAAGAGAGAUGGUGAAGGCGCGUCGCAACGGACAUGAGAACAUCCAAAUGUUUUGGAUAGAGAAGGUGAUUAUGGUGGGCGCCUUGAAUAUUCACAAUUCAUGGCCACUGUUAUUCAAUCCACUCCCUCUCUCACUGUCACCACCACCACCACUGCAACCGCCACAAUCGCCCCUUCUUAUUACUCUUUCCCACACUCUCUUCUCUCUUCCUCUCCGCCCCAUAGCCCAAUCUUCCUCUUUCCCAAAACUCCACGACCACCACCAUUCUCUUCACUCUCCAACUUCAAGCUUCGCAAAACUCACCACCACCAACCCCACUUCUCCACUUCCCCAACCCAACCUCUUUCUUCAACACCAACCCUUUUGCCCUUCGAGUCUUCCCAUGGCUCUUCUUCACCAAACGACGCACAAAACUCUCUCAUUGAUACCUUAUUUGAUUUGCUUCGCCUCUCAGCUCGCUACGGCGAUGCACAGCUCGUGAACGCUGUCCACGCAUGCAUUUCCAAGCUCCAAGAGCACACCCAUCUCAGCAAUGCUCUCAUUUCCGCAUAUCUCAAGCUGGGUCUUCUCUCUGAAGCUUACAAUGUUUUCCUCGGCCUUUCGUGCCCCAAUGUGGUGUCUUAUACGGCGUUGAUAUCUGGGUUUUCGAAGUCGAAUCGAGAACACGAGGCGGUGGAGCUUUUCUUUCGAAUGAGGGAUUCAGGUAUUGAGCCUAACGAGUAUACCUUUGUUGCAAUUUUGACUGCCUGCAUUCGGAUUUUGGAUUUACAACUGGGUUUACAAGUUCAUGCUAUGAUAAUCAAACUUGGGUUUUUGAAAGAUUCUGUUUUUGUUUCGAAUGCGCUUAUGGGGUUGUAUAGUAAAUGUGGGUGUUUCUUAUUUGUGCUCAAAUUGUUCGGUGAAAUGCUGCACAGAGACAUUGCGUCGUGGAAUACUGUUAUAUCGUGUAUGGUAAGUGAGUUUAUGUAUGAUAAGGCAUUCGAAUUUUUUCGUGAUAUGCAGAGAAAUGAUGGGCUUAGAGUAGACCAUUUUACAGUUUCUACUCUUUUGACCGCUUGUUCUGGCAGUUCUUCUUUAAUGCAAGGCCGAGAAGUGCAUGCUCAUGCAAUCAAGAUUGGGCUGGAGGCUAAUUUGAGUGUCAACAAUGCAUUGAUUGGGUUCUACACUAACUGUGGUGGGGGUGUAAAAGAUGUGACAGCUUUGUUUGAGAGGAUGCCCAUAAGAGAUAUGAUCACUUGGACGGAAGUUAUUACUGCAUAUAUGGACUUUGGCUUGGUGGAGUUGGCUGUGGAGGUAUUUGAAAAGAUGCCAGAAAGGAAUUCUUUUUCUUAUAAUGCUCUUUUGACAGGAUUAUGUCGAAAUGGCCAAGGGUCAAGGGCACUGGAAUUAUUUAUAAAAAUGGUGGAAGAGGGUGUAGACUUGACAGAAUUCACUUUGACAAGUGUUCUUAGUGCUUGUGGAUUGCUCAUGGAUCGCAAAAUUAGUGAGCAGAUUCAUGGGUUCAUUUUCAAGAUUGGUUUUGAGUCAAAUGCUUGUAUUGAAGCAGCGUUACUUGAUAUGUGUACAAAGUGCGGAAAGAUGGCAGAUGCUGAAAAGAUAUUCAGACGGUGGUCAUUUGACCAGGAUACCUCUGUGAUUUGGACAUCAAUGAUAUGUGGUUAUGCUCGAAAUGGGCAGCCAGAUGAGGCAAUUUCUCUAUUCAACAUUAGUCAAUCCAAAGGAACAAUGGUUGUGGAUGAAGUUGCAUCAACUUCAGUACUUGGUCUCUGUGGAAAUAUAGGAUACCAUAACAUGGGAAAGCAAAUACAUUGCCAUGCUCUCAAAUCUGGUUUUUUAUCUGAUUUAAUGGUUGGAAAUGCCUUGCUUACCAUGUAUUCUAAGUGUUGGAACAUGGAUGAUGCAAUUAAGAUAUUCAAUAAUAUGCCUACACACAACACAGUUUCCUGGAAUGGUUUGCUUGCUGGCCAUCUUUUCCACAGACAGGGUGAUGAGGCCUUGGCCCUCUGGUCAAAAAUGAAGAAGAUGGGCAUGAAACCAGACAAAGUUACCUUUGUUUUGAUCAUUUCAGCUUACAGACACACUAACUCCAAUUUAGUUGAUGAUUGCCGUAGCUUUUUUUCAUCAUUGAAAAGCGUUUAUGACAUUGAGCCCUCUUUAGACCAUUAUGCAUCCUUGGUUGGAGUUUUGGGUUACUGGGGUCUACUGGAAGAAGCAGAGGAGAUGAUCAGUACAAUGCCUUUUGAGCCUGAUGCCUCUAUUUGGCGAGCCUUGCUUGAUAGUUGUAGAAUCCAUUUGAAUACAACUAUUGGGAAGCGGGUUGCAAAGCGCAUUCUUGCUCUCGAACCUAAAGAUCCAUCCACCUACAUACUUGUAUCAAAUCUGUAUUCUGCAUCUGGGAGAUGGCAUUGCUCUGAAAUGGUUAGGGAGAAUAUGAGAGAAAUGGGUUUCCGGAAACACCCAGGUCGAAGUUGGAUCAUUUUUCAGAACAAGAUACAUUUUUUCUAUGCAAGAGACAAAUCCCAUCCCCAAACAAAAGACAUCUAUAGUGGAUUAGAAAUUCUGAUCUUAGAAUGUCUAAAAGCUGGGUAUGUGCCAGACACGAGCUUUGUUCUUCAUGAUGUAGAGGAGCAUCAAAAGAAGGAUUUCUUGUUCAAUCACAGUGCAAAACUAGCAGCAACUUACGGGCUUCUGAUGAGCAGGCCAGGAAAACCUAUUCGGAUUGUGAAGAACAUCCUUCUUUGUGGGGACUGCCACACAUUCUUGAAGCAUGUUUCUGUUGUUACCAAGAGAGAAAUAUUUCUAAGAGAUUCUUCAGGGUUUCAUUGCUUUUCUAAUGGCCAGUGCUCAUGCAAAGAUUACUGGUGAUCCCCCUCACCUUGUAUCUUACAACCUUUUAACUUCCAUUCUUAUUGUUGAGAAAUACCAAGCCAUUGUCAAAAAAUUGUAUAUAUAUGUGUAAUUUUUUCCAUAGAAGAAAUUCAGUAGAAAUAUUUGAGUAAAUAGAUCUUCAAUUACUGACAAUGGUCUUGUAUAUAACUUCAUGCUUCUGUCUUGGAUCUGGUUUAUUGCUAAUCACUCCACUACUACUGUCCCAUGCACCCAUUCUCUAUGGCUGUGAACCACUGCACUUCCACGAAGCACGGGAAAAUUGGCAGCACAUUAACACUUUGUUUGGAAUGGUGGAAAGAGGGAAGAAAGGAAAGGAUAGGGAAGGAAAGGAAGCAAUUUCCACUUUUUGGUUACAGAGGUGAAGAGGAAGUGGGGGGGAAUUGGAGUGAUGUAUUUCUACCCGGCACAUUUCCGUAUCUGCCCAAAAUGGACAGAAAAGGAGGAAAAGCUGAAACUUGAAAACAUGAUGAUGACAGUGGCCUGGUUUGAAAAUAUUGUGGAUAAAAUUACCAACAUACACAUAUCAUAUGCACAACCACAAAAGAGAAAAUUACAUAAUGAGAAGUGAAUAGUUUAGAGGGGAGAGAGAGACAGAGAGAGACUUACCUGAGGGUUGAAUUGGCUUUUGCUUGGCCGUGCUGUAAUACAGGGAGUGUUUGAGAUUUCAAAUUUGUUUCUAGAAAAGUUAAAGGCUCUAAGGCGAGGCAUACAUGAUUUUGAACUAUUUUAUUGGAUGGUGCAGAAUUGAAGGGCAACCUGAUCAUAAUUUGUACAGGUAGCAUGUCUUUUAUUUCCACUCUUUUGCAAUGUGAUUCCUGUAUUUAUUUUCAACUGUAUAUUUUGUGUUUGUUUUAAAUCGUAAUAUAUCCGAUCUUUAGUGAUAAUUUUCACUCAUUUAAAAUGGACACAUUACGCAUUAAACUUUUGGUGCUCUUGUUUUGCUUAGUGAUGUUUGUAUUUGCUUUCAAUUUACGACCACGAACCAUUUGAGCAUGUUAACCAAUGCUGGAGUUUGUAAGCUUGAUGUCUAUUACCAACUUGUGUGCCUUUGCAGUCUUAGCAGAAAUGGAGGAAACAAACUUUGGCUUCUAUUGAUCUGUUUGUUACAUCUACUAUUCCAUGUGACUUGGAUGUUACUCCUCUUUCAAGCUUGUGUCUUGGAUCUGGUUUAUUGCUUAGCCAUGACUAAAACUCCUCUUCAAUACCUUAUUCAUAAAGCAGCAGAAAUAUAACUAUUAACAUUAAACAAAAUUUGCAACCCCAUUUUUUGUAAUGUAUGUCACUGGCCUUUGUGUUUGUGUUUGUAUUUUCUGCAUAAUUGCUGGACUGAGAACUAGCUCCUGCACUGUGUAUUGUAAUGGUCAUAGGCAGUUUAUGGCUCUGGCUGUUUGUAUUUUCUGCAGAAUUGCUGGAAUGAGAACCAGCUUCUGCUUUGUGUGUUGCCACGGCCUUGUGUUUUCAUCUACAUAAUUGUCUGGUAUGCAGAUGGCCUUGUGUUAUUGUAAUGGUCAUAUGGCCAUUUUGUGGCUCUGGCUGUUUGUAUUUUCUGCAGAAUUGCAGAAAUGAGAACCAGCUUCUGCUGGCCACAGCCUUGUGUUUUGUUUCUGCAUAAUUGUCUGGUUUGCAGACCAGUUGCUCGUUCCCCUGAUGGCCUUUUGUUAUUGUAA